AACGAACGCUGGCGGCGUGUCUUAAGCAUGCAAGUCGUGCGGCAAGGCGGGGCAACCUGCCCUAGAGCGGCGGACUGGUGAGUAACGCGUGGGUGAUCUGCCCUUGGGAUGGGGAUAGCCUCUAGAAAUAGAGGGUAAUACCGAAUACGUUCGGCGGGGGAAGCCCGUCGCGGAAAAGCGCUUCGGCGCUGCCCGAGGAGGAGCCCGCGUCCCAUUAGCUAGUUGGUGAGGUAACGGCCCACCAAGGCUAUGAUGGGUAGCCGGCCUGAGAGGGUGUACGGCCACACUGGGACUGAGAUACGGCCCAGACUCCUACGGGAGGCAGCAGCUAAGAAUAUUCCGCAAUGGACGAAAGUCUGACGGAGCGACGCCGCGUGGAUGACGAAGGCCGAAAGGUUGUAAAGUCCUUUUGUUGGGGAAGAAUAACCAUGGGAGGGAAUGCCCGUGGGAUGACAUGAACCGACGAAUAAGCCCCGGCUAACUACGUGCCAGCCGCCGCGGUAA
rnacentral:rRNA from 1 species